rnacentral:rRNA from 1 species
UACGGAGGGAGCUAGCGUUGUUCGGAAUUACUGGGCGUAAAGCGCACGUAGGCGGCUUUGUAAGUUAGAGGUGAAAGCCCGGGGCUCAACUCCGGAACUGCCUUUAAGACUGCAUCGCUUGAAUCCAGGAGAGGUGAGUGGAAUUCCGAGUGUAGAGGUGAAAUUCGUAGAUAUUCGGAAGAACACCAGUGGCGAAGGCGGCUCACUGGACUGGUAUUGACGCUGAGGUGCGAAAGCGUGGGGAUCAAACAGG